GUGAAUCAUCAAAUCUUUGAACGCAAAUUGCACUCUCUGGUAUUCCGGAGAGUAUGCCUGUUUGAGGGGCAGGUUAAAUAAAAAUCGGUGUGGUUGCUGCCUUUCGUGGUGAUGCACCGGAUGUGGGUCGUCUUGCCUUCGGUUAAAUGACAUAUAAUUUUGCAUGAUUUUUUCGUACGUAUGUAAAUAAGUUUACUGUCGUUUGUGUUAUGUAAUGCUAGUUUUGUUAGUC
rnacentral:misc_RNA from 1 species